GCCUGACUCCAGGGAGAGGGUAGAAGAAAUCUUUAAUCACAGGACGCCUCUGCAAACAGCUGCUGUUGGAGUACAGAGAAAUACUUUGUUCUCCUUAGUCUCUUUCUUGCCACUGAAGAGGGAUUUGAUUUGUCCUCACCCACUGCCAACCCAUAUCAACAUGUCAUUAUGGAACGGGGGGAACAGACUGCUUCAGAUGGAAUCUGUGGCUAUAAAUAUGGACCAUAUGGUUAUAUAGCCUUACAUCAGUUCUGAUAGCUACAGACAAUUCCUACCCCACUAGGAAGUGUGGAGUUGAGGCCUGCCCUGUGACAUCAGUAUCAUCUUGCACUUUGUCAGAAAUGAAAAUUCUUGGGUCUAUCCUAUAUACACUGAUUCAGAAAUUCAAGAAGGUGGAUCCUAGCUGUGCAUAUUUUAAAAAGCAUUCAUGUGAAUUUGAUAAAUGCUAAGAUUUGUUAACAUCCUCUAUGGAAUAAAUACUUAAAACCAGUAUUUUAUGUCUAUACA
rnacentral:lncRNA from 1 species